rnacentral:rRNA from 1 species
UACAGAGGUGGCAAGCGUUGUUCGGAAUUACUGGGCGUAAAGGGCGCGUAGGCGGUCUUGUAAGUUCCGUGUGAAAUCCCUCGGCUCAACUGAGGAACCGCACGGAAAACUGCUUGGCUUGAAUCCGGGAGAGGGAUGUGGAAUUCCAGGUGUAGCGGUGAAAUGCGUAGAUAUCUGGAGGAACACCGGUGGCGAAGGCGGCAUCCUGGACCGGUAUUGACGCUGAGGCGCGAAAGCCAGGGGAGCAAACGGG